rnacentral:rRNA from 1 species
AACGAACGCUGGCGGCAGGCUUAACACAUGCAAGUCGAACGCAUCGCAAGAUGAAUGGCAGACGGGUGAGUAACGCGUGGGAAUCUACCCAUCCCUACGGAACAACUCCGGGAAACUGGAGCUAAUACCGUAUACGCCCUUAGGGGGAAAGAUUUAUCGGGGAUGGAUGAGCCCGCGUUGGAUUAGCUAGUUGGUGGGGUAAAGGCCUACCAAGGCGACGAUCCAUAGCUGGUCUGAGAGGAUGAUCAGCCACAUUGGGACUGAGACACGGCCCAAACUCCUACGGGAGGCAGCAGUGGGGAAUAUUGGACAAUGGGCGCAAGCCUGAUCCAGCCAUGCCGCGUGAGUGAUGAAGGCCUUAGGGUUGUAAAGCUCUUUCACCGAUGAAGAUAAUGACGGUAGUCGGAGAAGAAGCCCCGGCUAACUUCGUGCCAGCCGCCGCGGUAA